rnacentral:rRNA from 1 species
CGUAGCCUGGUAGCGGGGGAUAACUAUUGGAAACGAUAGCUAAUACCGCAUAACAGUAGAUAUCGCAUGAUAGCUGCUUGAAAGGUGCAAUUGCACCACUACCAGAUGGACCUGCGUUGUAUUAGCUAGUCGGUGAGGUAACGGCUCACCAAGGCAACGAUACAUAGCCGACCUGAGAGGGUGAUCGGCCACACUGGGACUGAGACACGGCCCAG